UACGUAGGUGGCAAGCGUUGUCCGGAUUUACUGGGCGUACAGGGCGCGUAGGCGGUUGUUUAAGUCCGCCGUGAAAUCUCCAGGCUUAACCUGGAAAGUGCAGAGGGGACUGUUCAGCUAGAGGAUGGGAGAGGAGCGCGGAAUUCCCGGUGUAGCGGUGAAAUGCGUAGAGAUCGGGAGGAAGGCCGGUGGCGAAGGCGGCGCUCUGGAACAUUUCUGACGCUGAGGCUCGAAAGCGUGGGGAGCAAACAGG
rnacentral:rRNA from 1 species